rnacentral:lncRNA from 1 species
GAGGAAAUAUACGUUCUAACUUGCACAAGAUUUGUGGGAUGUCUCUCUCUAAUCUCUCCAUGUCAUCAACUCGUAGAGUUGUAGAAGUAAGAUCUUUGAAAAAUAAGCUCAAUUCUGUAAGUGCUUGCCACACAUUACUAGGAAGUAGUUCGCGAAAGGCAAUAGGCAACAGUCGUUGCAUGAACACGUGACAAUCAUGACUUUUCAUG